ACAAGUCCUAUAGACAGUCAGAAGUGAGCUUAUUCAUAAAAGUACAGUAUAAUACAACAAGUAACUUUAUGUAUAAGCUAGUCUCUGAUUGAAACAUGCAACAGAUGUCUUCUCAA
rnacentral:pre_miRNA from 1 species